rnacentral:lncRNA from 1 species
CGGACCCUAAUUGGGAAAUUGAUGUUUGAAAGGAAUUUUGGAGACAUUUCAUUGACCUUAAGGCUCAAUUCGAUGUUCAUGAUGUUACAUUGGUGAUGUGAUCACAUGAAUAUAUUCGUAGGGUGUUUUUGAGGUAGUGUGCAUGCUUGGUUUAGAGUUUCGAGGGCUCGUGUGAGUUUUAGUAGGUUCUGGGAUGCCUUAGGCUUUAAAAGAUCAGAUGUUGCAGGUUCAGGAAUUUUGACAGGUCUCUGAACCCUUUUGUGCGGCCCGCGAGGAAACGCAUGCGGCCGCGGUCGCCUUUGCGAGGUUCGCGGUGAGUGCUGCGCGUCCGCGGUCGCCUUUGUGCGGUCCGCGCGGGGCAUAGAUCUGCAGGCCUUCAGGAAGCCUGCGCGGCCGCGGUCCUUCUUGUGCGGUCCGCGGUGGGAACUUCAGAGGGGUAUAAAUACCCGUGAAUUUCAGUUAUUUUACACUUUUCAAAACCCCAAAACAUAAGAGGCGAUUUUCCAAACAACUCUUCUUCUCCGAAACGAUUGGUAAGUGAUUUCUAUCUUAUUUUCUUCACUUCUUAACAUCUUUUAACAUGAUUUCAACUUCAAAUCAAUGAUUUUCAUAGGGAAAUUAAGUGAUUUGGUGGUGGAAUCAAGAGAUAAAGCUAUAAUUGAGACUUGAGUGGUGUUCAAGGCAUCAAGGUAAGUGUUUGGUUUAACCCUAGCUUGAGGGAUUAGGAGUUGAGUCAUAUUUUCUACUUGCUUCUUGUUGAGUAUGACGUAUGUAAGUGCGUGAUUUUUGCCCAAUAUGAGAAUUAUUCCCAAAAAAUUCAAAAAAUAAAAUGAAUUUU